rnacentral:tRNA from 1 species
AGGGUAUUAGUUUAAGUUAAAACAUUUAAAUUGCAUUUAAAAUAUAAUUAGGUUUAUUAUACCUUA